CUAGCUAGCUUGUUACCCGCUACGCUAGCUAGCAGCAUCGAUUGAAGCAUCAGCUUGGCUGCCUCAAUUCCGUCCGGGAGCCAUAGUAACACAUGCAUAUUUCCAUAGUUACAACAUCCGGGACUGUUUGCGUCCAUAGUUACCAAAACACAAGGAGACAAGUUGUUUUACUUAGGCAACAGCAAUUUAAUAAUAUAUAUAUUUUUGACGUUUUACUUCUUGAAAUCGCACCAUGGAAAUCAUCAAAGGUACUUUGGAUGACAUUUCUCGACCUGCAUCGAGUGAGCAGACAGGCAGCCGUGUGUCAAGCAUGUCAUAUGGUGACAGAAUUGGUACAACUACUCCAUUUGCUCUGGUUGUUUUGACUAACGAUGCUGCUGAUGUUCAGAUCCAGAGCCGUUAUGAAGAACGUUUAAUCAACUCCUCAUCCAGAGGUCUGGACAAAGGCCAGUGUCCCCUUGAAGUUUCCGAUGAAGAAAAAGAAAAUCCCCGACUGCAGAGGGCCUUUGAGGAAAUGAAACGACUUGAUGACAUACUUUCUACAAAGACCUGCAUUGAAAAAGAAGUCAAGCGUCAAAGGAAAGAGCUUCAAGCUAAACUCUGGCAAGAGCUCAUGCAGAAUAAUCGUGAAGGUCACUCUGAAUGCGCCCAAGAAGCCAUGAACACAAGGUUGUUUUUGGCUCUGGAAGCACCCACUGUAACAGAAGGGGAGGACAACUUUGUGCCUGUGUUUGAAACUCAAGUUCCUGACUGGGAGCAAAGCCAAGAUAGCCAAUACUUGGAACAAAGUGAAAGGAGGCCAGACAGCUCAACAGACUUAUUUGAACAAGACCGCGAGGAGACUGGGGAAGAGCAAUUUGAAGGCAGCCACUGUGGAGCUUCCAAAGGCAGGAGAAAACAGAAGGACUUUGUGAAGAGAAACAUUGAGUUAGUAAGUGAGGGGGACCAAGUGCUUUUGACUCAGGCUGAGUUCGAGCGUCUGGCCGAGCUCCUUGGAGAAGUAGAGGAAGAUGAAGAGGAGAGUGCCAGAGGUGCAGACAGCGAGGGGGAUAUGUGGGCCGUGUCCGUCCCGACAGGCCAGGGUUACAUCCCUGAGCCCUCUGACCUGGAGCAGCUGAUUGACAUUGACUCCAAAAUGCGCCUUCUCCUUCCUGUCGAAGAAUUUGCCUCAAUGAACAGCUCGUACAGAAACCUGACCAUGUCCCAGGGCUGUGGCUCAGAGGUUGGCUGGAAGUGUGAUGGGGACCCGCAGCCAGGAGAGAAGGCCCUGCAGGAUAUAAAGGAGAGGAGAGGGCAGGAGAGGAGGCUCCAAGAGAUCCAACAGCAGCUGGAGUUCCUGGGCCAGGGCCAACAUAUGACUAGCUGAUGAACGGGAGUCAGAGGCGGUGUACGCCGUGGGAACGACGUGUAGAGGAGAGGCCCAAGGACUGUCAGAACGGCGGACGAUACCCAGGCGUUCCAUGGUUGAAAACUCCGCCCUCGCUACUGCAAGCAUAGAAGGGUUCAACCGCCGGGCCCUGGCGUAGACUGGGGGACCCUCGGUGGUGACGUGGUGCUCCACCCCAUGCUUGGUGGUGAGCGCGGAGAAGAUUGAGUCACCGGACCUUAUUGAGGAGCAGUUACUAUUUAGUCUGCUGGAUGAAUGUGAGUUGACAGACAGUUGGACCCAGGAUCUUGAGACAAACGCAACAACUGAUUGAGACUCAAACAAUCUGUAUGUUCCAAUACCCAGACUAACAUACUAUGGAGUAUGACACAAACAAAUGUAGCAUGUCCAUUGUCCACAAUAUAUAAAAAGUAAAAAGCAGUAAGCCGAAAAGUCAGCAUAAUUUUCUCACUAUGUUGACCCACAAUUCUUGGAAGCUGCAGUAGCUACUUACUAAAAGUGUUUUUUAAAGCAUGCAAUGUUUAAUGCAGCCAAAGAUGCUAACAACUGGAAGCCUUACAAUCAGAACGCCUAUCAAGAUGCAUCAUUCCUGGGACAGCACUAUCUGGCUACUAGGGGGUUAUGAGAAAAACAUUACUGGAUCUAAACAUAUUUAACAAUAAAUUCCUAUCACAACUGAUAUUCUGAAUUUAAAAACAUCUGAGUGAAAUUGUAGCUUUUCUAAUUAUGUAAAUAUAACUAACCAGUGUUAUAUUUGUUUCAAUGUUCUACUCUAGAGCAGUGUUUCUCAAACGUUUUCAUACCAAGGACCACACUUUGAGAAGCAGAGCAGUGCUUUUCACAAACACCCCCGCCACACAUUUACCGACACAAACAUUUGUAUCAUCUGUUGUAGA